UACGUAGGGAGCAAGCGUUGUCCGGAUUUACUGGGUGUAAAGGGUGCGUAGGCGGCUUUGCAAGUCAGAAGUGAAAUCCAUGGGCUUAACCCAUGAACUGCUUUUGAAACUGCAGAGCUUGAGUGGAGUAGAGGUAGGCGGAAUUCCCGGUGUAGCGGUGAAAUGCGUAGAGAUCGGGAGGAACACCAGUGGCGAAGGCGGCCUGCUGGGCUCUAACUGACGCUGAGGCACGAAGGCGUGGGUAGCAAACAGG
rnacentral:rRNA from 1 species